GGCCUCGUGGUGAAUUUCAUGU
rnacentral:tRNA from 1 species